rnacentral:rRNA from 1 species
AUUCCGGUUGAUCCUGCCGGAGGACAUUGCUAUUGGGAUUCGAUUUAGCCAUGCUAGUCGAACGAGUUCACACUCGUGGCACAUAGCUCAGUAACACGUGGCCAAGCUACCCUUCAGUCGGCAAUACCCUCGGGAAACUGAGGCUAAUAGCCGAUACGAAACAGACGCUGGAAUGCACUGUAUUCCAAAGAUACCGCUGAAGGAUGCGGCUGCGGCCGAUUAGGUAGACGGUGGGGUAACGGCCCACCGUGCCAGUAAUCGGUACGGGUGAUGAGAGUCAGAGCCCGGAGACGGAAUCUGAGACAAGAUUCCGGGCCCUACGGGGCGCAGCAGGCGCGAAACCUUUACACUGCACGAAAGUGCGAUAGGGGAAUCCCAAGUGCGAGGGCAUAUUAGCCCUCGCUUUUGUUGACUCUAAGGCGGUCAACGAAUAAAAGCUGGGCUAGACCGGUGCCAGCCGUUGCGGUUAAUACCGGCAGCUCAAGUGAUGUCCCAUAUUAUUGGGCCCAAAACGUCCGUAUUUU